rnacentral:lncRNA from 1 species
GGAAAAAGACCAAGGAUUAACUCUUUGUGCCACAGUCUGAUUUCACAGUGCGUCACCUCUCGCACUUGUCCUCAUCAAUCACUGACAUAGGACCAGGCCUCAGACGGGCCUCCAGGCUUUCCCAGGAAUCCCUGCUGCUUGGAUAUCUACCUACUUUCUGGGGAAGAAAAUCUAAAAUGAAAAGACCCAACAAAAGACAAGAAGAUGGAAAGAGAUUGUUGUGAAGGAAAUGUCCUGGGGUCACCUAAAGUAGAAUAGAUGAAAGAAUACUUUAGAGUUCAUAAGAAGUUUUCCUUGCAAAAAGAUCAAAGAAUAGUUGAAAGUAUAUUUAAAAGCUGCAUUGUGGUAGAGCUUCUAUUCUAAAAUUCUUUAGCUAUUCCAUUUGAAAACACACACUAGCUGUUAGGUUAGCACCAAAUAUGGAAAUGUCAAAAUGACC